rnacentral:rRNA from 1 species
CCAAUAGCGUAUAUUAAAGUUGUUGCAGUUAAAAAGCUCGUAGUUGAAUUUCGGGACUAAUAUGUUGGUCGUGCUUUUGUACGUACUGUCAUUAUUGGUUUCUACCUUCUGAAGAACCGCGAUGUCAUUAAUUUGGUGUCGUGGGAAAUCAGGACUGUUACUUUGAAAAAAUUAGAGUGUUUAAAGCAGGCUCACGCUUGAAUACAUUAGCAUGGAAUAAUGAAAUAGGACGUUUGAUUCUAUUUUGUUGGUUUCUAGGAUCGACGUAAUGAUUAAUAGGGAUAGUUGGGGGCAUUAGUAUUCAAUGGUCAGAGGUGAAAUUCUUGGAUUUAUUGAAGACUAGCUACUGCGAAAGCAUUUGCCAAGGAUGUUUUCAUUAAUCAAGACCGAAAGUUAGGGGAUCGAAGACGAUCAGAUACCGUCGUAGUCUUAACCAUAAACUAUGCCGACUAGGGAUCGGAUGAUGUUAAUUUUUUAAUGACUCAUUCGGCGCCUUACG